AAGUCGUAACAAGGUUUCCGUAGGUGAACCUGCGGAAGGAUCAUUACAGAGUUCAUGCCCUUAUGGGUAGAUCUCCCACCCUUGAGUAUUAUACCUUUGUUGCUUUGGCAGGCCGCCUCGGCUACUGGCUUCGGCUAGUAAGUGCCUGCCAGAGGACCCCAAACUCUGAAUGUUAGUGUCGUCUGAGUACUAUAUAAUAGUUAAAACUUUCAACAACGGAUCUCUUGGUUCUGGCAUCGAUGAAGAACGCAGCGAAUGCGAUAAGUAAUGUGAAUUGCAGAAUUCAGUGAAUCAUCGAAUCUUUGAACGCACAUUGCGCCCCUUGGUAUUCCGGGGGGCAUGCCUGUUCGAGCGUCAUAUAAACCCUCAAGCUUAGCUUGGUGUUGGGGUCCUACGGCUGCCGUAGGCCCUGAAAGCUAGUGGCGGGCUCGCUAUAACUCCGAGCGUAGUAGUAAAAUAUCUCGCUAGGGAGGUGUCGCGGGUUCCGGCCGUGAAAGCCCAUCUUUUACACAAGGUUGACCUCGGAUCAGGUAGGAAUACCCGCUGAACUUAA
rnacentral:rRNA from 1 species